UCUAAGGUGGAGAGUGGCGCACGGGUGAGUAACACAUGGCUGACCUGCCCCUCAGAGGGGGACAAGCGGUGGAAACGCCGGCUAAUACCCCAUGCUUGCGUCCGGGUUAGAGGCCGGAUGCAGAAAGGCCGAGGCGCUGAGGGAGGGGGCUGUGGACCAUCAGCUAGUUGGUAGGGUAACGGCCUACCAAGGCGAGGACGGAUAGGGGGCCUGAGAGGGUGACCCCCCACACGGGCACUGAGACACGGGCCCGACUCCUACGGGAGGCAGCAGUAAGGGAUAUUGCGACAAUGGGCGAAAGCCUGACGCAGCAACGCCGCGUGGAGGAUGAAGGCCUUCGGGUUGUAAACUCCUUUUCUGUGGGAAGAGGAAGGACGGUACCACCAGGAAGAAGUCUCGGCUAACUACGUGCCAGCAGCCGCGGUAAAACGUAGGAGGCGAGCGUUAUCCGGAUUUACUGGGUGUAAAGCGCGUGCAGGCGGUCUGGUAAGUCGAGCGUGAAAGCUCCCGGCUCAACCGGGAGAGGACGUGCGAAACUGCGAGGCUAAGAGACAGGUAGAGGCGUACGGAAUUCCGGGUGUAGUGGUGAAAUGCGUAGAUAUCCGGAGGAAACACCAGUGGCGAAGGCGGUACGCUUGGGCCUGGUCUGACGCUAAAGACGCGAAAAGCAUGGGGAGCGAACGGGAUUAGAAACCCCGGUAGUCCAUGCCGUAAACGAUGCUAACUAGGUGUUGCGGGUAAAAGACCGGCAGUGCCGGAGUUAACGCGAUAAGUUAGCCACCUGGGGACUACGGUCGCAAGGCUAAUACUCAAAGGAAUUGACGGGGGCCCGCACAAGCAGCGGAGCGUGUGGUUUAAUUCGAGGCUACACGAAGAACCUUACCUGGGCUUGACAUGACGGUGGUAGGGAACCGAAAGGGGACCGACCUUCGGGAGCCGUCACAGGUGCUGCAUGGCUGUCGUCAGCUCGUGUCGUGAGAUGUUCGGUUAAGUCCGGUAACGAGCGCAACCCUCAUCGCUAGUUACAAGUGUCUAGCGAGACUGCCCGUUCAACGCGGGAGGAAGGCGGGGAUGACGUCAAGUCAGCAUGGCCUUUAUGUCCAGGGCUACACACACGCUACAAUGGCCGGUACAAUGGGUCGCCA
rnacentral:rRNA from 1 species